rnacentral:rRNA from 1 species
CCUACGGGUGGCAGCAGUGAGGAAUAUUGGUCAAUGGGCGAGAGCCUGAACCAGCCAAGUCGCGUGAAGGAUGACGGCCCUACGGGUUGUAAACUUCUUUUGUCAGGGAGCAAUUGAGUCCACGUGUGGUCUUAGCGAGAGUACCUGAAGAAAAAGCAUCGGCUAACUCCGUGCCAGCAGCCGCGGUAAUACGGAGGAUGCGAGCGUUAUCCGGAUUUAUUGGGGUAAAAGGGUGCGAAGGGGGAAGAUAAAGGCAGCGGUAAAAAUUCGGGGCUAAACCCCGACGUGCCGUUGAAACUGGUGUUCUUGAGUGGGCGAGAGGUAUGCGGAAUGCGUGGUGUAGCGGUGAAAUGCAUAGAUAUCACGAAGAACUCCAAUGGCGAAGGCGGCAUACCGGCGCCCAACUGACGCUGAGGCACGAAAGCGUGGGUAUCGAACAGGAUUAGAUACCCCGGUAGUC